CAGGUCUUGACAUCCUCUGAAAACCCUAGAGAUAGGGCUUCUCCUUCGGGAGCAGAGUGACAGGUGGUGCAUGGUUGUCGUCAGCUCGUGUCGUGAGAUGUUGGGUUAAGUCCCGCAACGAGCGCAACCCUUGAUCUUAGUUGCCAUCAUUAAGUUGGGCACUCUAAGGUGACUGCCGGUGACAAACCGGAGGAAGGUGGGGAUGACGUCAAAUCAUCAUGCCCCUUAUGACCUGGGCUACACACGUGCUACAAUGGACGGUACAAAGAGCUGCAAGACCGCGAGGUGGAGCUAAUCUCAUAAAACCGUUCUCAGUUCGGAUUGUAGGCUGCAACUCGCCUACAUGAAGCUGGAAUCGCUAGUAAUCGCGGAUCAGCAUGCCGCGGUGAAUACGUUCCCGGGCCUUGUACACACCGCCCGUCACACCACGAGAGUUUGUAACACCCGAAG
rnacentral:rRNA from 1 species